GUUUCAUCUUCUCUCUCAUCUUCUUUGUACUUUGUCAAUGAAAAUUCAAGAGUAGAUUUUUCUUCCUUUUGCUCAAUCAAACAUUUUUUGCUCAUCUUCAUAAGGUCAGCUGAUGUUGGUGAAUUUGUGUUGUUUUUCUGCGAUCUCGAUUGGUGAAGUUGAGAAAAUUUGGAACAUUGGUGAAUGGGUGGGGAAUUUGUGUGAAGUUUUGUAGAGGUUUUUGGGUGUGUGAAAAGUGAAAAAUCUAUGAAUUUUUAGUUUUUUUUUGUUGGAUUGGAGUAUUUUUUGUUGGAUUGGAGUAUCUGCACUUAUCCCCCCUCUCAGACGAGUUGAUUAGCUCGUACGUGUGUCUUAAGAUUAUGUGUUAUGCGAAAAUACAGCUUCUUGGAUGAAAACUAAGGAUCCCUACCUUUGCAUAUGAAUAAGUUGAACUUUUGGACUUGUGGUGGCAAAAUUGUGAAGAUGUUUGACAUCUUCUUCUUCUUUUUCUUUUUUAAUCUUAUUUCAAUGUAGUAACAACUUUUUAAUUUUAUAUUUGAAAAAGAAGAAGAAUAGGAAGAAAUAAUGUUUUAGCAAAGAAAUCUUUUUUUUGAUGUUUUAGCAAAGAACCUUGUUGCAAAGAAGUAUAUAAAGAAAUAAAGUGUAAAGGGUAUUUUUAUAAACAUACACUUUUUAAAUAGAAAUUAUGCAAGAUUUGUUUUUUCUAAUACAUCAAACCAAACAGUAUAUAAGAAAUAAUGCAGACAUAACUAAUGCAAGUAUUACUAAUGCAAGCACUAGUAAUGCAAGUAUUACUAAUACACCCUAUUUUGCAUUGUUCUUAUACGCUCUACCAAACGACCCUAAAAGACCAAAACUUAAAAUUUUCACUCUCUCCCCCUCUCUUCAGCCGCCUUCCCCCUCUCUCUUUCCAUUUUUUCCAGUGACCCUCCUCUCUCUCCUCGCCAUCCUCCGACAAAGCAGCAGCCCGGCGACACCCCUCACUCCCGUCACUCUUCUUCUUUCCCCCUCUCUCCGCCUCCCUCUUCCCUUCUCCAUCUCGCCCCAUCUCCUCUUUUCCUCUUUUAUUUCUCCAAGCACUAGCAGCAAGAACUAGCCAGGCGAGGCAGCCGGCAGAAGCAGCAAGCGAAAGCUCGCUGCUCUCUCUCUCCUCCACUCGACUACUCUGACCAGCAAGCAAGGCAGAAGUCUGGCAAAACAGUGGCCAAGCGAACGAGAAUAAGCAUCGAACAAUAAUAUCUCCGAUUAAAAAAGUUUCAAUCUAUUCGAAGAUGUAUCUUUUCAGAUUCGUCUGGGUUCUAUCAGUUUCAGUGAAAUGUUGUCAUGGCCAUGCUUUUAUUUGAUUUGUGUGCAACUGGUAUCGAAUUAAUAGUUAUGGAUCAUUUACUUUGAUCUGUUAACUUUCGUCUCAAUAUGGCAGAAGUAAAAAGACUUGGAUGUAAGUAUUGCUUUUCUUUUACAUAAUUAUUUCUUUUGAUUGAUUGUAAAAUAUUUGAUUGAAUAUAGGUUCUUUUUUUUAUUUUUUUUCCUCAAUUAUGGUAGAUUGAAUUUGCUUGUCUUAGUUAAAAAAAACUUGACUGAUUUUUUACUUGCUUAUUUUAAGAAAUAAAAAUUUUAAUUUGAUUCUUCUUUAUUUAAGGAAAAUAUUACUCUUUCUAUUUUAUCCUUAUUUGUGUAUAUUUGGGGAUAAAUUAUUAUUUUUUAAAAUCUAAUUUGGUUAUCAUGUAAAAUAAGGAAAUACAGUAAUAUUAUAAUUAAUUCAUUAAUUUAUUUAUUUUCCUUAUGUAUUCCUCUUGCUAUAUAAAGAGACACUCAUUCACUCAUUUUUAAACAUUGAUAUUUACUCUCGACUCUGUCAUUCUCGCACUGCUUUCUCUUGAAAUACUUUAAAUUUUAGUUUUUAUUUUUGAAAAUAAGUAAAAACUUUGGUAAAGUUUUAUGUCAUUCUUUGUGGUAUUGUUGUAUUGUGUUUGUGGAUUGAAAACCUCACUAGAUACUUCAUUGCGUAUAUUCUGCAUAAUUGGUUAGUCUUGUUCAUUAAUUUCAAUUUCAUUUUGCAUUAUUAUAUUGAUGAUGGAAAUAAAUAAAAGGAUGCGUUCAGGUUAGUCUCUUAUCCUUCAUUCUAUUGUGUGAGUUUAUUUGACUAGUGUGAAGUUGUGGUUGUUGUGAAUAGUUUUGUGCCCUUAUCUAUCUGUUAUGAUCUCGUGUUAGGUGUUAUUUUGUUAAGCGUGUUGAACUUGAAGUUCAAGUUGAAGAGUUCUCACGAAUCAAGUUUAUUUAAUUUCUAUAUUUUUUUAAAUUUGUACCCUUUACCUAUUUUGGCUUGUAAUAUUUGUAUAGCUCUAACUCUUUAUAUAUAUAUAUAUAUGAAAUAUAUUUUGGGGAU